ACCUGAGGAAGUUGGCGGAGCAGUUUCAGAAGCAAGCACCUAAUGCAGGAACUGGUGCACCCACGACUCAAGAGGACGACGACGAUGAGGUCCCAGAGCUUGUGGCAGGCGAGACGUUUGAAGCUGCCGCAGAGGAGAAAACAGAGAAACCUGACGCUGCUUCUUAGAGAGUUUUAUCUAGAGGGACUUUGUGUUAUUCUAUAUAUUUUCUAUGUUUUUUGAGCUUUUAUUUUACUUUUCCGAGUCAACUUUCUCUUGUUUUAUCUGAUUC
rnacentral:lncRNA from 1 species